rnacentral:rRNA from 1 species
CCCUACGGGGGGCAGCAGUCGGGAAUUUUGGGCAAUGGGCGAAAGCCUGACCCAGCAACGCCGCGUGAAGGAUGAAAUCCCUCGGGAUGUAAACUUCGCAAGAACGGGAAGAAUAAGUGAGAGUUAAUAUCUCUCGCGAUGACGGUACUGUUUGUAAGCUCCGGCUAACUCCGUGCCAGCAGCCGCGGUAAUACGGGGGGAGCAAGCGUUGUUCGGAUCUACUGGGCGUAAAGGGCGCGUAGGCGGCCACCGCAAGUCGAUUGUGAAAUCUCCGGGCUUAACCCGGAAAGGUCAACCGAUACUGCGGGGCUAGAGUGCGGAAGGGGCAACUGGAAUUCUCGGUGUAGCGGUGAAAUGCGUAGAUAUCGAGAGGAACACCUGCGGCGAAGGCGGGUUGCUGGGCCGACACUGACGCUGAUGCGCGAAAGCUAGGGGAGCGAACGGGAUUAGAUACCCGUGUAGUCAA